rnacentral:misc_RNA from 1 species
AAGUCGUAACAAGGUUUCCGUAGGUGAACCUGCGGAAGGAUCAUUAUUGAAUAAACCUGAUGUGACUGUUAGCUGGCUUUUCGAAGCAUGUGCUCGUCCGUCAUCUUUAAUCUCUCCACCUGUGCACAUUUUGUGGUCUUGGAUACCUCUCGAGGCAACUCGGAUUUUAGGAUCGCCGUGCUGUAAAAGUCAGCUUUCCUCUCAUUUCCAAGACUAUGUUUUUAUAUACACCAACGUAUGUUUAAAGAAUGUCAUCAAUAGGAACUUGUUUCCUAUAAAAUUAUACAACUUUCAGCAACG